AGGUUUCAGACAUGCAGAUUGUCACUGCUGCUUAUUAUGUGAGCAAGGACCUAAUUAUGAUUUCACAAUUUGUUUACUGUAUGCUCAGGAGUCAGAAGGUAACAAAAUAGGGAUCCAAAAAUAGAGUGUACAAAUCCUGGAGUUCUGAGACCUGUAGCCUCCAGUUUUCCCUUCCUUCUCAUUUCUGACCCACACACAUCUGUGAAUAUUUUCUAUGGAGUACUUUCAGUUGAUAUAGACAUAAAAAAUGCAAUAGGCAUUUGGGAUCUGGUUCCAUAUUUUAACUGAUUCCAUGGUUUUUGUGGAAAUAUGUGGGAGUUGAAACCAAGCCUCAUUUCUUUGUGGGGUUCAGUUGGUUUCCUCCCCGUUGAUUGAAAGUGGGCUUUAUUUGCUUAUAGCAUAAAAUAUGUUGACAUCUUCAUGUGUUCUGUU
rnacentral:lncRNA from 1 species